rnacentral:rRNA from 1 species
UACGUAGGGCGCAAGCGUUAUCCGGAAUUAUUGGGCGUAAAGAGCUCGUAGGCGGUUUGUCGCGUCUGCCGUGAAAGUCCGGGGCUCAACUCCGGAUCUGCGGUGGGUACGGGCAGACUAGAGUGAUGUAGGGGAGACUGGAAUUCCUGGUGUAGCGGUGAAAUGCGAAGAUAUCAGGAGGAACACCGAUGGCGAAGGCAGGUCUCUGGGCAUUAACUGACGCUGAGGAGCGAAAGCAUGGGGAGCGAACAGG